rnacentral:rRNA from 1 species
AACCAGCACCUCAAGUGGUCAGGAUGAUUAUUGGGCCUAAAGCAUCCGUAGCCGGCUCUGUAAGUUUUCGGCUAAAUUUAUAUGCUCAACGCAUAGGCUGUCGGGAAUACUGCAGAGCUAGGGAGUGGGAGAGGUAGACGGUACUCGGUAGGAAGGGGUAAAAUCCUUUGAUCUAUCGAUGACCACCUGUGGCGAAGGCGGUCUACCAGAACACGUUCGACGGUGAGGGAUGAAAGCUGGGGGAGCAAACCGG